AGCCCCACAAUGGGCCAAGAGACACCUUCUUGGCAGUGUUGUUCUUUUAUAUCAGUCAGGGGCAAAGCAGACGGCAGCCCUUUGUUCAUCCUAGCUUGAUGCCUGAUUUGGUGCCUAAAGCUGUCUUAUGCCUAGGACACAUAA